UUGUGUUUUAUGAAUGUCAUGUUCAAUUUUUUUCAAACUGAUCAUUUCCUGCAUAGUAUUAUUUUUAUUGAUUUUGCAUAUCACACUAUAUAGCUUUGUCAGGAGGUCAUUUUUAUUUACAAUCUCUCUGGGUCCUGCCUAGCAGAUGAGAUAAAGCAGUUUAGCAAUGUAGCAGAAAAUAGGUUGAAGUACCACUGCAUGGGACAGUUCAGUUGGUUCCAUUUAACAAGUAGCCCUGAAUGGUCAGGCUGUGUGGGUCGCAUCGCAACGCCCUAGAUUCCAUUCUGUGGAAAUCUUCCGACAAUACACAGCAAAGAGGAUGGAGUUCCAGGUGGCUCCUGGGUCUGUGGGCUGUUGGAGUAUUCUAGCUAUCCAUGUCUGAGGGAAAACAGGACCCGAGACAAUCACUCACCCUGCAUUUUAUCUGCCUGCCUACUGGCCAUCUUUCUUUUUCUCUCUCUCUCGCACUCACUCUCUUUCUCUCCCCAUGAUGAAUGAACUGCCACGGAAUAAAGCCAAUCAGAGAGAGAAGCAAAAGACAAAAGACUAAAAACAACUGCGGAAAAAAACAGGCCUCAAUAACCAGCGGGGGCUUCAUUCCUGUCCACAGCUCAUCUGUUAUAGCCAGUUUAGAAGGUGGGUGGCCCUAGCGGGAAGUGGUGGGGUGUGUGGCAGUGGGGG